GCCAACAUCACCUUUCAGCUGCGCCGGAACCACUUGGCGAACACUCCGGAAACACCUGUAGGGCAGGCCGGAACCACAUCUCAGACUUGCCAGACCCAUGUGCCUGAGAUGCCGGAACCACACCCCGAAAAGACCGAAACCACCUGCCAGACCCGCCUGAAACCCCUGGCGAGCACGUCUGAUCCACCUGCUCAACUAGCCGGAACCACCUUCCAGACACGCCAAAAUCACCUGCCAGGUGUACCAGAACCACUUGGUGGCCACUCCGUAAUCAUCUGCCGGACAUGCCAGAACCAGCCCUCUGACACACCAGAACCAGGUGCCGGACACGCCGGAAGCACCUGCUGAUCAUGCCUGAGCCACAUGCUCGACUUGCAAGAAACACCUGCCAGACACGCCAAAAUCAACUGCCGGAUACGCCAGAACCACGUGGUGGACACUCGGAAUCACCUGUCGGGCAUGCCGGAACCACCUCUCAGACGUGCCAGAACCUCGUGCCGGACACGCCAGAACCACCAGCCGGACAGACCGGAAACAAAUGCCGGACAUGCCGGAACCACUGGCUUGACUAGCCGGAACCACCGCUGGACAUGCAAAAUGACCUGCUGGCUACGCCAGAACAACUUGGCGAACACUCCGGAAUCACCUGUCGGGCAUGCCGGAACCACCUCUCAGACUUGCCAGAACCAAAGGCCGGACACUCCGGUAUCACCUUCCGGGCAUGCCGGAACCACCUGCUGGAAAUGCCGGAACCACCAGCUCGACUCGCCGGAACCAUUGCCGGCCAUGCAAAAUCACCUGCCGGCUACGCCAGAACCACUUGGCGAACACUCCGGACUCACCUGCCGGGCAUGGCGGAACCACCUCUCAGACAUGCCGGAACCAGAUGCCAAUGACACCGGAAGCACCUGCCGAGCACGCCAGAACCACCUGCUCGACUCGCCAAAACCACCUGCUGGACUCGCCAAAAUCACCUGCCGGCUACGCCACAACCAUUUGGUGAACUCUUCGGAAUCACCUGCCGGGCUGGCUGGAACCACCUGCCGGUCACGCCAACAUCACCUGCCAGCUAUGCCAGAACCACUUGGCGGACACUCCGGAAUCGCCUGCCAGGCAUGCCGGAACCACCUGAUCCACUCCCCAGAACCACCUGCUGGACAUGCCGGAAUCACCUGCCGGACAUGCCGGAACCACCGGCUCGACUCGCCGGAAACACCGCAGGACAUGCAAAAUCUCCUGCCGGCUACGCCAGAACCACUUGGCGAACACUCCGGAAUCACCCGCUGGGCAUGCCGCAAGGACGUCUCAGACAUGCCACAACCACAUGCCAAUGACACCGGAAGCACCUGCCGAGCACGCCGGAACCACCUGCUCGACUCGCCAGAACCACCUGCCGGACACACCAAAAUCACCUGCCGGCUACGCCACAACCAGUUGGUGAACACUUUGAAAUCAAC
rnacentral:lncRNA from 1 species